CCUACGGGUGGCAGCAGUGGGGAAUAUUGCACAAUGGGGGAAACCCUGAUGCAGCGACGCCGCGUGAGCGAUGAAGUAUUUCGGUAUGUAAAGCUCUAUCAGCAGGGAAGAAAAUGCCGGUACCUGACUAAGAAGCCCCGGCUAACUACGUGCCAGCAGCCGCGGGAAUACGUAGGGGGCAAGCGUUAUCCGGAUUUACUGGGUGUAAAGGGAGCGUAGACGGCGAUGCAAGCCAGAUGUGAAAGCCCGGGGCUCAACCCCGGGACUGCAUUUGAAACUGGAUAGCUGGAGUGUCGGAGAGGCAGGCGGAAUUCCUAGUGUAGGGGUGAAAUGCGUAGAUAUUAGGAGGAACACCAGUGGCGAAGGCGACCAGCUGGCCGAUGACUGACGUUGAGGCUCGAAAGCGUGGGGAGCAAACAGGAUUAGAUACCCGAGUAGUC
rnacentral:rRNA from 1 species